GACGAACGCUGGCGGCGUGCUUAACACAUGCAAGUCGAGCGAUGAAGCUCCUUCGGGAGUGGAUUAGCGGCGGACGGGUGAGUAACACGUGGGUAACCUGCCUCAUAGAGGGGAAGAGCCUUUCGAAAGGAAGAUUAAUACCGCAUAAGAUUGUAGCUUCGCAUGAAGCAGCAAAUAAAGGAGUAAUCCGCUAUGAGAUGGACCCGCGUCGCAUUAGCUAGUUGGUGAGGUAACGGCUCACCAAGGCGACGAUGCGUAGCCGACCUGAGAGGGUGAUCGGCCACAUUGGGACUGAGACACGGCCCAGACUCCUACGGGAGGCAGCAGUGGGGAAUAUUGCACAAUGGGGGAAACCCUGAUGCAGCAACGCCGCGUGAGUGAUGACGGUCUUCGGAUUGUAAAGCUCUGUCUUCAGGGACGAUAAUGACGGUACCUGAGGAGGAAGCCACGGCUAACUACGUGCCAGCCGCCGCCGUAA
rnacentral:rRNA from 1 species